AAUAAUUAAUGAGGAAUAAUUGAGGAAGGAUUUAUAAUUAACAAUAUGUUCAUUUGGGAGAAGUGUAAGGAGGUAAGAAGUAAGGUAAGGUAAUGUGAUAAAAGAUAAGGUAAGGUUUUUUUAAUAUUACAUUGUUUGAAAUGAAGGUAAGAUAAAUGAUGGUUUACUAAUAUUAUAUUGUUUGGAUCGAAGGCAUGGAAAGGUAAAGAUAGUUAAUAAUUAAUAUUUAAUUUAUAAAAACAUU
rnacentral:misc_RNA from 1 species